GGCUCAUAUAUUAAGAUGAAGCUCAUAAAUGGCCACAGCAGCCAGUUAGCAUAGACUGGAGGCAGAAUCCUUAUGAAAUAAGCUCAUUUAAAAAUUUUUGCUAUUAUUGACCUUUUUUGCCAUGCUCUAUUCUCUUUUAAAAUAUUAUACUUGUGGAUAUUAUGAAUGUCUCUAGUGUGCUCAAUAGCAAGUGGCAAAUCUCAGUUUUCUAACCAAUGAAGCAUAUAUUUUCUCCCCCAGAAUAGAAAAGGAAGUAGGAUAGGAAUUGGAAGUAUUGCUCUAUGACACAUUAAGGACCUAAAAGAAAGAAUUUGACUAUUGAAUUCAGUAGUCUAAAUGGCUUCAGAAUAAGCCUAGCAUAUAUUGAAUUACUGUAAGAGAUCAAUAGCAAAUGUAUAAUGGAGAUUACAUUAUUCAGUAACCCAUGUUACAUCAAUAUCUACAAAGGAGUUAGACAAGGGUAAUACAAUAUUUCCAAUUUUGUUGCAGGUCAAGAAUCAUUCUUUAACAGAAUCAACUGAAAACAUGAAGUCAGCAAAGAUGGUGAAGAUUACUGAAUGAUCAAUGAAGUUCUUCUAAUCUUUUAUUCAAUUUCAUGUUCUAUGAAUAAAUUGCUAAAAUU
rnacentral:lncRNA from 1 species